AAAGACAUCAGACAAGCCAAGAUUGGGAGACAUUCUCUAAAACAGGUCAUGAAAAGACAAGAGAAGAUUGAGAAACAAUCAUAGACCAGAGGGGACCUAGGAGAUAUGAUGACUAAAAGUAAUCUCUAUACCCAGUGUGGGGCUCGAACUCACAGCCUUGAGAUCAAGAGUUGGUGCUCUUCUGACUAAACCAGCGGGGAGCCCUGAGAUAUCUUUAAAUAUGCAAAGACAAUCAUUGCCUUUUACCACAGAUUGCCGCUCCUGAAUUCACCUACCCCUCCAGAGAAAGCCUGCCGUCAGUGCUAGCUCAGAGGAAAACGCUCCUGCUCCGCUUCAGAGUCAGCAACAUCUGUUCUUCUCCUGGUCUCUGCUGCUGCCGAGAGCAAACAAAGACAUUUACUGACCAAAAUUCAAUGCGUAGAAGCUAAGCUCAUGGAAUCUGCCAAGCUGUGUGACGUUGGGGAGUUCUCUCUUGGCACCUCUGUUUCUUUCUCUGGAAAAAGAAGUGGUUGUAAUAGUACCUACUUCCCAGGGUUUUUGAGAGUAUAAACUGAGUUAAAACAUGUGAUGUGGUCAGACUUGGUCCAGCAUAUGGUACGAACUCAGUAAGGAUUAGCUAUGGUCACGAUAACGCAUGUCCCUUAGUUCACCAGUGAGGAAUUUUCAGAUCUCACAGUCUACUAUGGGCUGAGUUGGGCCCCCCUCAAAUUCAUAUGUGGAAGUCCUGACCCCCAGUAUCUCAAAAUGUGACUGUAUAUGCAGAAAGAGGCUUCAAAAAGGUAAUUAGGGUAAAACGAGAUCAUGUGGACAGGCCCCAAUUCAGUGUGACUGGUGUCCUGAGGGGAGAGGAGAUCAGGGCACACAUACACAGAGGGAAGGCGACGUGAGGAAGACACAGGAGUAAGAUGGCCAUCUACAAGCCAAGGAGAAAGGCC